CCUGAGACUAUACUCAGUGGUAGAGCACUUGCCUAGGAUGCAUGAGGUCCUGGGUUUGAUCCCCAGCAUUGCAGGA
rnacentral:tRNA from 1 species